rnacentral:lncRNA from 1 species
GGUUAUUUCACUCUCUGACGUCAUACAAUAAGUACCGAUUAUCAGGUUAUCUGCAUGUUGAUAUCGUAAAAUAUCAGCUGCGAGACAUAAUAUGAAGCUUUUUGUCGAGUGAGCGUAGCGAACGAGAUCAACUAGCCUUCAUAUAAUGUCAAGCAGCUGAUAUUUUACAAUAUCAAUAUGCAGAUAAUCUGAUAAUCGAUUUAUCGGGCUAUAUUUGCGUGUUUCGGAAGUGUUUUCUUUGUUUCACCAGCACACAAAAGAUGACUUGAUAAGUUCGGGUCAAAGUUAUUAACGUCGGUUCAAACAUUAUGACGUCGCUGAUAUGUCAGGGUCAAAGUUAUUAAGGCCGGGUCAACGUAUUUGACGUCACAAAGACAUGAUACGGAAUAAUAUUAUUAAUUUGUAUAUUUUAACAAAUUUGAUUCGUUUAGGGAUAGUCACAUGUUAAACUAUAUUUUCGAAGGUAGAGAGAAAACGGCGGAUAGCAAAAAGCAUAUUGUACGGCAAAAAGCAUAUUGCACGGUUAUUUUUAGAAAAUAUAAAAACCGAUAAACUUUGUGACGUCAUGUAUUGAAUUUCAGGAUAUUGUUAAACGAUCUUAACGUUUUGAAACAGAUGAUAUCUGUGAUCGAUUAUUUGACGGAAAAAAUCUUCAAAUACUUAAGAUGACAAACAAACAAAAAAAAAGCAAUUGAAAUAACAACUAAUAUUUUGUAUUGUUAAGGAGACAAUAUGAUAUCUAUAAAAUUCCAACAAAAUCAAAUGACGAUUUUGAUACAAAUAUGGUCGGAAAUUAAUAAUAUAACAAAUAUAGCCUUUGUAUGAGGUCAAUACAGGAUAUAUCGACCCAAAGAAGUAUAUCGACCUCGGACUACGUUCUCAGUCAAUAUACUUCUUUCAGGUCAAUAUAUCCUUUUAUCAUAUGUUUAGUAGUAAAUACAGUAGUUUUGCAUGUUUGAUAAAUAGCCUGCUGUUUAAUCCGUAUCGCGCAACUUUGGUGCGCACCCUUUAUCGCAUACCCUUUAUCACACCCUUACCCUUUAUCACAUACCCUUUAUCACACCCCUACUUUUUUUUUUUUUUUUUUUUACAUAAAGUCAGUUUUGGAUUUUUUUUUUGCUUAUGAAAAAUUUUCCUCAAAAUUUUGUUUAAUGACGUCAUUGUUUGGUAUGUGACGUCACGAACGUCGUUUUCAUAUUGUAUGUGACGUCACGAACGUCAAGUUUUCAUAUUUUUGGCACACUAAAUGCAACUAUAAAAAAUACAAAAAUAAACAAAGUAUUUUUAAAACAACAGCACGCAAAUUGUAAGGUAACCAAGGUGCUUCGGAUUAGUAAUUGAGCAGUUCUUUUAAGGCCUUUGAAACAAGACAGAAGUAGAACUGAAGGUAACCCAGUGCUAUGGAACAGAAAACAGUUCAUAUAAUACUCUUCUGUUGAAACAUAUGAUAAAGCGUAUAAUACAUGGCAAAAUCCGUAUCAUAUUUCGUAUCAUCCCGAGACAUCAAUAUCAGCUCGUUUAAUCCAUGCGUCGUUCGGUCACGCGUUGUCUUAUUUUUGAUAUACAAAUACGGCGAUUAGUUAUACUAUAAAUAAUCGAAAAAGGAAAAAGAAAACGAAUAAGGAAACGAAAAAAACUUUUUGAGGAAAAAUAUUUUGAGGAAAAAAAAUUUUGAGGAAAAAAAAAUUGAGGAAAAAAUUUUGAGGAAAAAAAAUUUUGAGGAAAAAAAAAUUGAGGAAAAAAAAUUUUGAGGAAAAAAAAAUUUGAGGAAAAAAAAAAUUGAGGAAAAUUUUUUUUGAGGAAACAAAAUUUUGAAGGAGAAAAAAAAAUCAGUUUGGACUUGUAAAAUUUUUCAAAAUUUGAAUAUCGAAAAAGGAAAUGGAAACUGAAUAAGGAAAUGAAAAUCGAAAAAGGAAAUAGAAACCGAAAAAGGAAAUGAAUAUUGGAAAAGGAAAAAGAAACCGAAUAAGGAAAUGAAAACGUAUAAGGAAAUGAAAAUCGAAUAAGGAAACGAAAAUCCAAUAAUGAAAUAGAAACCAAAUAAGGAAAUAGAAACCAAAUAAGGAAAUAGAAACCGAAUAAGGAAACAGAAACCGAAAAAGGAAAUGAAUAUUGAAAAAGGAAAAAGAAACCGAAUAAGGAAAAAGAAACCGAAUAAGGAAAAAGAAACCGAAUAAGGAAAUUGAAAUUGAAUAAGGAAAUGAAAUCCAAUAAGGAAAUAGAAACUGAAUAAGGAACUAGAAACCGAAAAAGGAAAUGAAUAUUGAAAAAGGAAAAAGAAACCGAAUAAGGAAAAAGAAACCAAAUAAGGAAAAAGAAACCGAAUAAGGAAAAAGAAACUGAAUAAGGAAAUUGAAAUUGAAUAAGGAAAUGAAAAUCCAAUAAGGAAAUAGAAACUGAAUAAGGAACUAGAAACCGAAAAAGGAAAUGAAUAUUGAAAAAGGAAAAAGAAACCGAAUUAGGAAAUGAAAAUCGAAUAAGGAAAUGGAAAUCGAAUAAGGAAACGAAAAUCCAAUUAGGAAAUAGAAACUGAAUAAGGAAAUAGAAACCAAAAAAGGAAAUGAAUAUUGAAAAAGGAAAAAGAAACCGAAUAAGGAAAUGAAAAUCGAAUAAGGAAAUGGAAAUCGAAUAAGGAAAUGAAAAUCCAAUAAGGAAAUAGAAACUGAAUAAGGAAAUAGAAACCGAAUAAGGAAAUGAAUAUUGAAAAAGGAAAAAGAAACCGAAUAAGGAAAUGAAAAUUGAAUAAGGAAAUGGAAAUCGAAUAAGGAAAUGAAAAUCCAAUAAGGAAAUAGAAACCGAAUAAGGAAAUAGAAACCGAAAAAGGAAAUGAAUAUUGAAAAAGGAAGAAGAAACCGAAUAGGGAAAAGAAAAUCAAAUAAGGAAAUGAAAAUCGAAUAAGGAAAUGGAAAUCGAAUAAGGAUGAUAAUCGAAAAAGGAAAAAGAAAACGAAUAAGGAAAUGAAAAAAAAAUUAGAAGAAAAACUUUUUGAGGAAAAAUAUUUUGAGGAAAAAAAAAAUUU